AGUUGGUGAAUGCUAAUCUGGAAAAUAACACCUCAAUCGGUACAAUACUCUUUUCACAUCUGUGUGGAUUAUGCAAAUUUACAAACAGUCAACUUAAGGUGAAACAAAAAGUGUACAGCAUAAACCAACAGACAACAAAUCUUCACUCCUAGAAACAAGUAUUAGUUAUAGAGACCUAAAAGCUCCAUGGAUGCCAAAUGUUAAAUCUCUAGUUAUUUGAUCUUUCCAGAUGAUAUAGCUCUCAUUCUAAAUAAACAAUUAGCAGCCACUCUUAGCUUAUCAAUCAAACAACAUGAAAUAGGAUUACAACCACUAAAAUAAAUAGGGAAAUAAGAGCUUGUUUGGUUCAAUCCCAAAAACACAAAAUUUUAUAGAAUUCAAUUGAAUUCCAUGUU
rnacentral:misc_RNA from 1 species